rnacentral:lncRNA from 1 species
GGAAUUGUCUUUGCCUUCCUUCAAUUCUUGAAGACAGGCUUUACUUACUUUCCUUCAACAUAAGGUGAAAAAAUUGGUCGGAAAACAACUCCGUUUCUUUCUUCUGCACAUGCUUUAUCCUUAAACUGCUGCGGCAAUUUGAAAAAAUCGCUGCCGAAAGUGUAUGCAAAUUUUUAAAUUGAGGUCAAUUUCAUCUUUUUAGAGAAGAUCCUUAGGUAUAAUGGCGGUCAUUUUCUGUCCCCUCC